UACGGCGGCCAUAGCGGAGGGGAAACGCCCGGUCCCAUUCCGAACCCGAAAGCUAAGCCCUCCAGCGCCGAUGGUACUGCACUCGACAGGGUGUGGGAGAGUAGGACACCGCCGAAC
rnacentral:rRNA from 1 species